rnacentral:rRNA from 1 species
GACGAGGGAUCCUAGCGUUGUUCGGAAUUAUUGGGCGUAAAGCGGGUGUAGGCGGGCUUAUAAGUCAGAUGUGAAAUCCCAGGGCUCAACCCUGGAAGUGCACUUGAUACUGUAAGUCUUGAAUGUGGUAGAGGUUACUGGAAUUCCUGGUGUAGUGGUGAAAUACGUAGAUAUCAGGAGGAACACCGGAGGCGAAGGCGGGUAACUGGGCCAACAUUAACGCUGAGACCCGAAAGCGUGGGGAUCAAACAGG